GGGGACUUGGAGCACUGAGAUUUCAACAGACGCAUUUGUACUUGUCAGGAGGCAAUGUCUACAGAAUGGGUUCUUGAAUUCUUCUCUAAUCAUCUGGUUUUCUUCAUGGUUUCAGAUAAAGAACCACUCUUAGGAUGGUGAACAGAAACACUGAAGCUGGGAUAGCCCCCUGUCAGGGCCAUUUGUCAUUUCCACAGGCCAAGAACCUGGACGCUGUCCCCACAUUGGGGAACCCUCCAAUGCAUAAGCCAAAUGGGAACUGGAAACACUUCCUUGUUCCCCCAACCCCAGGGCUCUCUCUGCCUGUCACACACGCCUGCCCCAGCAGUGGAAUUCAGAGUCCGCGAACGAAGCAGCAGGAACUGGGCGGCAGUCGCUGUUUCAAGAUUCAAAAGCACCAGCCCAAACACAAAACCAGUGUGAACUCCGUGGACAGAAAGUUCUGAGCAGCGCCGGUACUAGAUGAGUCAUAACUGCAGACAAUCCUGCAAGUGUAGCCACCACUGGAGCCAGUUUAUUAGUCCCGAAAUAUAUAAAUUCUUUGUAACUGAAGCUCUGGAAUGUCAUGUCUUAAAUUACAUCCACCUGGGACUACAUUCUGAUGACCAAUCGGGUAGAUUACUGGAACUUGAAAACCUUACUUUUUUGGUAAUUGACAUUUAAACUGUUUGAAGUUUCUCAUUAAGGUCUCUUAACAAAUUAACUGCAGAUGUAGGAAGCGAAGUACAUAAUACACAGAGAAGUGAAGUCACCUGAAAGCUCCAAAUAACUGGCAGUAUUUAAAUGUACAUUAUAAGCACAUUAAGGUGAGCAUGAACUGGCCCCAUAAGCUGCAGAGUUCCACCACGUUUUGUCUAUUCCAAUUAGGUUUCACAGCGCACUGUGAAUGUAAUUUAAGUAAAAGAGAAAGGCAAGGGGUUCAAAUGACAUGGGACUAACACUUAGGCCAGGUUACAGACUGAAAGGCUAACUUGAUGGAGGCCGAAAGAGAUUAAACAUCUCCACUGGCUCCUUGUUGCCAAUAGGAUGUAAAUCUGAAGUCAGUCCUGGGCUGGCCUGGGAAUCCCUUCACAGUCUGGCCUCAACCUCCCCCGCUCUCAACGUCAUGCCCAGCCCCUGGGAAUCCCAUACUCCACAAUUACCUGCUCAUAACUCCCCUACCGGGCCUGUGCCCUCUGCCAAGAACACUCUUCCCUCUGCCAUACUUUAAACUCUGCCCAGAGGGCAGCUUCCCUGGGAAUGAUCCAGGUGCCCUCCAAAAGCCACCCCUGCCUCUGUAUUCUCACAGCAUUGUUGCACUGAUCCCUGCUUCACCACCGGCCAUGGCAUCUUCGUUUCAGUCAACAUUUACUCAGGAUCUACCACAGGCCAAGGUACUGCACUGGCCACUUGAAGACUAAGACACAAUACUGGUGGAAUUACUCCUCCCAGGCCUCUUCCACGCAGCCAGCCACCUCACACCGCACCCUUCUUAGAAAGCAGGCAAAAGGAGCCCGUAUCUCACGUGAGAUGCGCCAAAGCACCUUCUGGAACCUGGCACAGCAAAGAUCCUCAGGAAAUGUUCUUCCC
rnacentral:lncRNA from 1 species